UAGGGAAUCUUCCGCAAUGGACGCAAGUCUGACGGAGCAACGCCGCGUGAGUGAAGAAGGAUUUCGGUUCGUAAAACUCUGUUGUUAGAGAAGAACAGCGCAUAGAGUAACUGUUAUGCGUGUGACGGUAUCUAACCAGAAAGCCACGGCUAACUACGUGCCAGCAGCCGCGGUAAUACGUAGGUGGCAAGCGUUGUCCGGAUUUAUUGGGCGUAAAGCGAGCGCAGGCGGUCAAUUAAGUCUGAUGUGAAAGCCCCCGGCUCAACCGGGGGGGGUCAUUGGAAACUGGUUGACUUGAGUGCAGAAGAGGAGAGUGGAAUUCCAUGGGUAGCGGUGAAAUGCGGAGAUAUAUGGAGGAACACCAGUGGCGAAAGCGACUCUCUGGUCUGUAACUGACGCUGAGGCUCGAAAGCGUGGGUAGCAAACAGG
rnacentral:rRNA from 1 species